AACUCUAGAUUAAAUUCCUCCCGCGGUUAGCCUGACCUGUGCCCGGGACUCAGUGGGGACAGCCACGCAAGUUAAACUCUAGAUUAAAUUCCUCCCGCGGUUAGCCUGACCCGUGCCCGGGACUCAGUGGAGUCAGCCACACAAGUUAAACUCUAGAUUAAAUUCCUCCCGCGGUUAGCCUGACCCGUGCCCGGGACUCAGUGGGGACAGCCACGCAAGUUAAACUCUAGAUUAAAUUCCUCCCGCGGUUAGCCUGACCCGUGCCCGGGACUCAGUGGGGACAGCCACACAAGUUAAACUCUAGAUUAAAUUCCUCCCGCGGUUAGCCUGACCCGUGCCCGGGACUCAGUGGAGUCAGCCACGCAAGUUAGACUCUAGAUUAAAUUCCUCCCGCGGUUAGCCUGACCCGUGCCCGGGACUCAGUGGAGUCAGCCACACAAGUUAGACUCUAGAUUAAAUUCCUCCCGCGGUUAGCCUGACCCGUGCCCGGGACUCAGUGGGGACAGCCACACAAGUUAGACUCUAGAUUAAAUUCCUCCCGCGGUUAGCCUGACCCGUGCCCGGGACUCAGUGGAGUCAGCCACGCAAGUUAGACUCUAGAUUAAAUUCCUCCCGCGGUUAGCCUGACCCGUGCCCGGGACUCAGUGGGGACAGCCACGCAAGUUAGACUCUAGAUUAAAUUCCUCCCGCGGUUAGCCUGACCCGUGCCCGGGACUCAGUGGAGUCAGCCACGCAAGUUAGACUCUAGAUUAAAUUCCUCCCGCGGUUAGCCUGACCCAUGCCCGGGACUCAGUGGGGACAGCCACGCAAGUUAGACUCUAGAUUAAAUUCCUCCCGCGGUUAGCCUGACCCGUGCCCGGGACUCAGUGGGGACAGCCACACAAGUUAGACUCUAGAUUAAAUUCCUCCCGCGGUUAGCCUGACCCGUGCCCGGGACUCAGUGGAGUCAGCCACGCAAGUUAGACUCUAGAUUAAAUUCCUCCCGCGGUUAGCCUGACCCGUGCCCGGGACUCAGUGGAGUCAGCCACACAAGUUAGACUCUAGAUUAAAUUCCUCCCGCGGUUAGCCUGACCCGUGCCCGGGACUCAGUGGAGUCAGCCACACAAGUUAAACUCUAGAUUAAAUUCCUCCCGCGGUUAGCCUGACCUGUGCCCGGGACUCAGUGGAGUCAGCCACACAAGUUAAACUCUAGAUUAAAUUCCUCCCGCGGUUAGCCUGACCCGUGCCCGGGACUCAGUGGAGUCAGCCACGCAAGUUAGACUCUAGAUUAAAUUCCUCCCGCGGUUAGCCUGACCCGUGCCCGGGACUCAGUGGAGUCAGCCACGCAAGUUAAACUCUAGAUUAAAUUCCUCCCGCGGUUAGCCUGACCCGUGCCCGGGACUCAGUGGGGACAGCCACACAAGUUAAACUCUAGAUUAAAUUCCUCCCGCGGUUAGCCUGACCCGUGCCCGGGACUCAGUGGGGACAGCCACGCAAGUUAGACUCUAGAUUAAAUUCCUCCCGCGGUUAGCCUGACCCGUGCCCGGGACUCAGUGGAGUCAGCCACACAAGUUAAACUCUAGAUUAAAUUCCUCCCGCGGUUAGCCUGACCCGUGCCCGGGACUCAGUGGGGACAGCCACGCAAGUUAGACUCUAGAUUAAAUUCCUCCCGCGGUUAGCCUGACCCGUGCCCGGGACUCAGUGGAGUCAGCCACCCCAGACCUCUCUCACUGUUAUCAUUUUUGCACAGGUGGUUUCAGCAGCUUGAUGCCAAAAAAAAAAAAAAAAAAGGAAAAGCAUUCUGAAAAGCC
rnacentral:lncRNA from 1 species